AGACUUCAUUCCAAUCAAUCUAGAUUCACAAAAUUUCUAUAAUCACAGACUUCCUCUGUCAAAAUACACACACAAAUCUCAAUAAACAAUAAUCAUAAUCUUCCAUCCAUAAUCAAUCUUCCAAUAACUUCUCAUGUAAUUCAAUAACUCAGUACUCCAAUUAUAUAAUCAAUAAUUCAUACAUCAAUCUCUAAUUUAUUCCACAGAUUCACUUCUCAAUAUUCAAAAACUAUCCAUUACUCUUCAACAACAAAGAAAUAAAAAGAGAUAGUACCAAACUUACCCCAGUUCAUGACUAUCACAGUUUGGCACCCCAACAAAUUUCUACAACUCCUAUAUAAUUGCUUCUAAUUUCCAGAUCCUAACCGUAAUC
rnacentral:lncRNA from 1 species